GUGCCAGCCGCCGCGGUAAUACGGGGGGGGCAAGCGUUGUUCGGAAUUACUGGGCGUAAAGGGCUCGUAGGCGGCCAACUAAGUCAGACGUGAAAUCCCUCGGCUUAACCGGGGAACUGCGUCUGAUACUGGAUGGCUUGAGUUUGGGAGAGGGAUGCGGAAUUCCAGGUGUAGCGGUGAAAUGCGUAGAUAUCUGGAGGAACUCCGAUGGCGAAGGCAAGGUGCUGGACCCUCACUGACGCUGAGGCGCGAAAGCCAGGGGAGCGAACGGGAUUAGAUACCCCGGUAGUCCUGGCCCUAAACGAUGAGAGCUGGACGUUGGGAGCAACUUGGCUCUCAGUGUCGAAGCUAACGCGUUAAGUUCGCCGCCUGGGGAGUACGGUCGCAAGACUGAAACUCAAAGGAAUUGACGG
rnacentral:rRNA from 1 species